rnacentral:rRNA from 1 species
AGUGAACGCUGGCGGUAGGCCUAACACAUGCAAGUCGAACGGCAGCACAGUAAGAGCUUGCUCUUACGGGUGGCGAGUGGCGGACGGGUGAGGAAUACAUCGGAACCUACUUUUUCGUGGGGGAUAACGUAGGGAAACUUACGCUAAUACCGCAUACGACCUACGGGUGAAAGCAGGGGAUCUUCGGACCUUGCGCGAUUGAAUGAGCCGAUGUCGGAUUAGCUAGUUGGCGGGGUAAAGGCCCACCAAGGCGACGAUCCGUAGCUGGUCUGAGAGGAUGAUCAGCCACACUGGAACUGAGACACGGUCCAGCCUCCUACGGGAGGCAGCAGUGGGGAAUAUUGGACAAUGGGCGCAAGCCUGAUCCAGCCAUACCGCGUGGGUGAAGAAGGCCUUCGGGUUGUAAAGCCCUUUUGUUGGGAAAGAAAAGCAGCAGGUUAAUACCCCGCUGUUCUGACGGUACCCAAAGAAUAAGCACCGGCUAACUUCGU